GGAAGCUUAACUCAAGAGUGUUCGGUGGCCUGUCACAUACAUUUAUGUUUAAAAUUAAAGAUGGCCAAUUUUCCUUUAAGGCUGUUCCAAUUCCACACCACUUCUCGAAAUAACUGGAGCUGUCCAGGAUGGGCUGGGAAUAUCCCAUCUACGUUGUCUGCCUUACUGGAGGCUUCGCAUUCUCUCAGAGACACUUUGCUCAUGUACACCAUUUGGCAAGAAAGAGUCAUUGGCAUGUCCUUGGAUGACCCCUUGUCUAAGUGGACUUUUUGGAUGGUACUGUUGAUCAAUGGGGGCUUUGUAAGCGGGCAGGCCCCACUGCUGCCCUGAAGAUCUCUUCUGCACCCUGCAAAUGACACUAACAUUAUGAAAAAUUUCUCCAAAGACAGAUAUUUUCAAUUAGCCAAAUUACUCUAACAGUAAUUUAAAUCAGGAAGAUUUAAGGCAGAGCUAGUUCCUAUGCCAGCCAAGAAGACUGCUCUGCCAGUUGAAAGGCAAGCACAUCCUUCCCUGCCAACUUGCAAUGAGAUGGUUCUUGCAGUGACAGCAGAUCUACCAUGCACGUUUGAUUUAAAUCCCUCCAUUACCAUACCUUUGUAAUUAUCAUCAGGCAAUGAUGAGUCCUGGGGAAAGUAUGGAUCUUAAAUUCGAGGAUCCAGAAGCCUAAUCGAAAUGCAGCACAUGAAAUGAAUCUUUCUUCUUGGUAUAUCUCCUCUUUUCAACCAAUUGGUCUUGAUUUAAGUAAAAUUGUAGCAAAACCCUGUGCCA
rnacentral:lncRNA from 1 species